CUACAGGCUUAACACAUGCAAGUCCUUUGGCAGCAUGAACUUAGCUUGCUAAGUUUGAUGGCGACCGGCGCACGGGUGAGUAACACGUAUCCAACCUGCCGAUGACUCGGGGAUAGCCUUUCGAAAGAAAGAUUAAUACCCGAUGGCAUAGUUCUUCCGCAUGGUGGAACUAUUAAAGAAUUUCGGUCAUCGAUGGGGAUGCGUUCCAUUAGGUUGUUGGCGGGUUAACGGCCCACCAAGCCUUCGAUGGAUAGGGGUUCUGAGAGGAAGGUCCCCCACAUUGGAACUGAGACACGGUCCAAACUCCUACGGGAGGCAGCAGUGAGGAAUAUUGGUCAAUGGACGAGAGUCUGAACCAGCCAAGUAGCGUGAAGGAUGACUGCCCUAUGGGUUGUAAACUUCUUUUAUACGGGAAUAAAGUGAGGCACGUGUGCCUUUUUGUAUGUACCGUAUGAAUAAGGAUCGGCUAACUCCGUGCCAGCAGCCGCGGUAAUACGGAGGAUCCGAGCGUUAUCCGGAUUUAUUGGGUUUAAAGGGAGCGUAGGCGGACGCUUAAGUCAGUUGUGAAAGUUUGCGGCUCAACCGUAAAAUUGCAGUUGAUACUGGGUGUCUUGAGUACAGUAGAGGCAGGCGGAAUUCGUGGUGUAGCGGUGAAAUGCUUAGAUAUCACGAAGAACUCCGAUUGCGAAGGCAGCUUGCUGGACUGUAACUGACGCUGAUGCUCGAAAGUGUGGGUAUCAAACAGGAUUAGAUACCCUGGUAGUCCACACAGUAAACGAUGAAUACUCGCUGUUUGCGAUAUACAGUAAGC
rnacentral:rRNA from 1 species